GUUGACCUCGAAUCAGGUAGGAUACGCGUGAAUUAAAA
rnacentral:rRNA from 2 species